GAUGAACGCUGACAGAAUGCUUAACACAUGCAAGUCUUUGGCGAAGCUGUGCUUGCACAGCCUAGCCAAGGAGGACGGGUGAGUAACGCGUAAGGAACUUGCCCUGCAGUCAGGGAUAACAGACGGAAACGACUGAUAAGACCUGGUAAAGUCAGGCGGACUCAUGUCCAGCCUGAUGAAAAGAGAUGCUGCAGGAGAGCCUUGCGUCCUAUUAGCUUGUUGGUGGGGUAACGGCCCACCAAGGCGAUGAUAGGUAGCCGGCCUGAGAGGGUGGACGGCCACAAGGGGACUGAGAUACGGCCCUUACUCCUACGGGAGGCAGCAGUGGGGAAUAGUGGACAAUGGGGGCAACCCUGAUCCAGCAAUUCUGUGUGCACGAUGAAGGUUUUCGGAUUGUAAAGUGCUUUCAGCAGGGAAGAAAAAAAUGACGGUACCUGCAGAAGAAGCGACGGCUAAAUACGUG
rnacentral:rRNA from 1 species